rnacentral:lncRNA from 1 species
CCCUAGCCGGAGAUUUCCAAAAUCUCCCAACAACUGCUUCCAGUUGCUUCUAAUCACAAUGCUACUUGUGAUAAAAUCUUAUCACAACCUGCAUUGCUGAUCAAUUCACUGUUCAAUUCCAAAAUUCUUCACCAGAAAACCUCAAAUACUUACUUAAUCUCCAGUUUCACUCCACGGCGCUGCUAAUUGGCUGCUAAUUGUUCAUGGUUAAUCGAAAUUGAGCUGAUUCUUGAAUUCAGUACAUAAUAGUUCAUUAAUUUGACAUUUUUGUUGAAUAUUGGAGUUCUAAUUGUUGUGUGGAUCUGAGAUGAUGAUUCUGUAUACAAUUGACGCACAAUACGACGUCGUAGAAGUGUAGAAGUAUUGCGAGAUUGAUUUUAGUUCCAUUCAGCGAUUAGGUUAAGUUUCUGUAAGGAAGAUCGGCGAUAAUGUCUUCUAAUACGGUGGAAGUCAACGGAACUGAAUCUGACAUGGCAUUUCAGGCAUUUGAAGGUUUGGCCUAAAGGACAAAACGUGCAAGAUUUUGAAAGGUUAAGGAUACCACCUGUAAACUUUUGGCCAAAAGAACAACGCCUGCAAUGUGAUGUAAACAUAAAGAACAAAACUUGAAAUUUACUCAAAAACAACCAAAUGGUGGCCCCUUGUCCUUGUAAUUAUAUAUAUAGAUAUAUACUUAUAUAUAUAGAGAGAGAGAUAAAUUUAUGUUUUGAUUAAUAAGUAUUUUUUUUCUAAUGUGAUAGUCGAGUAGGCAUGUUUUUAAGUGUUCUUAAUCUUCCUCAUUGUGAAUGCUCUAAGAAAAAUAAAAAUACUUUCUUCACGAAACAUAAAUACGUAUAUUGAUAAAUACUUAUGGGAAAAACAAAUGGAAUGGGAAUGAAGAUAUUGAUAUAUGGCAAGAUAGAGGGCUAAAUUACGAAGACGUGGGCGAAAACGGUGAGGAAAACAGACUUAAAACGAAGAAGUUAUGAAAAAAACAAUGUUGUGAAGAAUGUGUCAGCGGUAGGCUACGGCUUCAGCCCGUUCUGGUGUAGGCUACGAUGCUGGGUUACGAAUUUUUGGUUAAAUGCUUAAAUAUAUGAAGUUUAGGGUUUAAAGUAUGGUUGUAAAACAAGCUUUCCAAGACCGAGUACUCCCCGAGUAGUCGCUACAAGGUAGGCUGCCGAGGCGACUUUCUUCGACUCUGCCUAAUUACUCGGAGUCGGUCAAACGCGGUCAACCUUGGCCAUAAUUGGAUCUAGUAGGUCAACUCGGGCCUAGUUUGACUUAAAUAAUAAUAAAACAUAAUUUCUAUGCCUAUCAUAUUAAGGAAUGAAUAUCAUUUUCACAUAUUUUGUUAUAAAUAUUAGUAAAUUUAUGUUAUUUGACGUAUAUUUAAUCUCCAAAAAGUAAUUUCUUUAUAAUUUAACAUGUCCGAGUACUCCCCGAGUACUCUCCGCCUAGACCGAGUACUGUCAACUCCCCGUUCGACCGACUAGGGAGCGCCUAGCGACUUUUGCAACUAUACUUUAAACAUAUCUCAUUCAUUCCAACAAGGGGGCACGACGUAGGGGACAAAUUUUGGGGGGUUUUCCUUGGAGUUUCUUCAUCAUUCUAUACCAUCUAAUUAUUAUUCAAUCAUCAAUCAUGCAUUCCAAUAUCAAGAUUGAAGAUUAAUUCACAAGCUUGAGCAGCUAAUUGCUUUGCGGUUUCCCCCGAGGCUAGGGUUUUGUAAGUAGAUGAACUAAUUCAAUCUGUCUUUAUGUUUGGGAUUAGCAAUCUAAGCAUUCAAUGCUUUUUACUAUUUGAUUCAUUAAUGUGAUUGUAACCGGUUGAGUUUUAUUCAAUAUCAUUUCGUUU